UACGGAGGGUGCAAACGUUGCUCGGAAUUAUUGGGCGUAAAGCGCACGUAGGCGGCUCCCUAAGUCGGGUGUGAAAUCCCUCGGCUCAACCGAGGAAGUGCAUUCGAAACUGAGGAGCUCGAGUACUGAAGAGGGUCGCGGAAUUCCCGGUGUAGAGGUGAAAUUCGUAGAUAUCGGGAGGAACACCAGUGGCGAAGGCGGCGACCUGGGCAGAUACUGACGCUGAGGUGCGAAAGCGUGGGGAGCAAACAGG
rnacentral:rRNA from 1 species